UACGUAGGCAGCAAGCGUUGUUCGGAGUUACUGGGCGUAAAGGGUGCGUAGGUGGCUCUAUAAGUAUGGUGUGAAAUCUCCCGGCUUAACUGGGAGGGUGCGCCGUAGACUGUGGGGCUAGAGUGUGGGAGAGGAAAGUGGAAUUCCUGGUGUAGCGGUGAAAUGCGUAGAUAUCGGAAGGAACACCAGUGGCGAAAGCGGCUUCCUGGUCCAGCACCGACGUUCAGGCACGAAAGCGUGGGGAGCAAACAGG
rnacentral:rRNA from 1 species